rnacentral:rRNA from 1 species
UACGUAGGGUGCGAGCGUUAAUCGGAAUUACUGGGCGUAAAGCGUGCGCAGGCGGUUUUGUAAGCCAGAUGUGAAAUCCCCGGGCUCAACCUGGGAAUGGCAGUGGAAACUGGCGGGCUUGAGUGUGGCAGAGGGGGGUGGAAUUCCGCGUGUAGCAGUGAAAUGCGUAGAGAUGCGGAGGAACACCGAUGGCGAAGGCAGCCCCUGGGCUAACACUGACGCUGAGGCACGAAAGCGUGGGGAGCAAACAGG